rnacentral:rRNA from 1 species
AGAGUUUGAUCCUGGCUCAGAGUGAACGCUGGCGGCGUAGAUUAGGCAUGCAAGUCGAGCGAUCCCACACCCAGCUUUGAUAUUCCGCAAGGAGUAUUGGGGCUGGGUGUGGGAUAGCGGCAGACUGGUGCGUAACGCGUGAGUAAUUUACCUUUAAGUCGGGGAUAGCCUUACGAAAGUAAGGGUAAUACCUAAUGUGUCCUCCCCCGCAUAAGCGGGAGAGGGUAAAGCUGGUUCGCAAGGGCUGGCGCUUAGAGAUAAGCUCGCGUCCUAUCAGCUAGUUGGUUGAGGUAAUGGCUCACCAAGGCUGUUGACGGGUAGCUGGCCUGAGAGGGUGGUCAGCCACACGGGGACUGAGACACUGCCCCGACUCCUACGGGAGGCUGCAGUCGAGAAUAUUUAGCAAUGGGCGAAAGCCUGACUAUGUGACGCCGCGUGAGGGAUGAAGGUCUUCGGAUCGUAAACCUCUUUCGAUGGGAAAGAAACCCUUUGACAAUAAUAUUGUCAAGGAUUGACGGUACCCAGAGAAGAAGCCACGGCUAACUCCGUGCCAGCAGCCGCGGUAAUACGGAGGUGGCGAGCGUUACUCGGACUCAUUGGGUGUAAAGGGCAGGUAGGCGUCCCGGCAAGUUUUAGGUGAAAUCCUUUUGCUUAACGAAAGAACUGCCUGAAAAACUGUCGGGAUUGAGGCCAAAAGAGGAGAGCGGAAUUCCCGGUGUAAGGGUGAAAUCUGUAGAUAUCGGGAGGAACACCAGUAGCGAAGGCGGCUCUCUGGUGUGGCCCUGACGCUGAGCUGCGAAAGCUAGAGUAGCAAACAGGAUUAGAUACCCUGGUAGUCC